rnacentral:lncRNA from 1 species
UUUAUCAAUACUCGUCCGUAUUGAUUUUCAACACUCGUCCGUGUUAAUCAUUUCUUUGUCAAUAAUCGUCCGUAUUGAUUUUCAACACUCGUCCGUGUUAAUCAUUUCUUUGUCAAUACUCGUCCGUAUUGAUUUUCAAUACUCGUCCGUGUUAAUCAUUCCUUUGUCAAUACUCGUCCGUAUUGAUUUUCAACACUCGUCCGUGUUAAUCAUUCCUUUGUCAAUACUCGUCCGUAUUGAUUUUCAACACUCGUCUGUGUUAAUCAUUCCUUUGUCAAUACUCGUUCGUAUUGAUUUUCAACACUCGUUCGUGUUAAUCAUUUCUUUGUCAAUACUCGUCCAUAUUUAUUUUCAACACUCGACCGCGUUAAUCAUUUCUUUGUCAAUACUCGUCCGUAUUGAUUUUUAACACUCGUCUGUGUUAAUCAUUAUCUUUCAGUACUCGUCCGUAUUGAUCUCC